GGAGGGUGACUCAGACGGUAACGAGGAUGGUUUGCUAAACCAUGACCCGCAAGGGUCCAAAGGGUUCGACUCCCUUACCCUCCG
rnacentral:tRNA from 1 species